AUGGGAAAGUGUCGGUUUAAUCCGCUGUGGCCAAGGAAUUCAAAUUACGUGUGGGUCAAGCCUGUGCCAGGAAAUGACUUCGAGGCAUAUUGCUCUUGGUGCCGGAAAUCUUUUAAACUAGCGACGAUGGGUGUUACGGCCCUGGAGUCCCAUAUGAAGGCUGCCAAACACAUUGCGUGUAGUACUGCUCGCCAGCGCCAACCACCAAUUGUGCAGUUCUGUGCACCACAGACCUCUUCGGUUAAUGAAACAGCUCUGGCUAUCAAUAAUGAAGACAUUUCAACAUCAAACGCAUUGCCGCCACAGCCAAAGAACAUCAUAUCUUACUGCGGCUCGACACCAACUCUACAGGCAGAGGUGAGAUGGGUCCUUAAAACAAUCUCUGAGCACCACUCUUACACAUCGAAUGAGAACAUUACAGAGAUUUUUAAAACCAUGUUUCCUGACUCCGAGAUCGCAACUACAUUCUCGUGUGGAAGCAACAAAACUUCAUAUAUUACUAAAUUCGGAUUGGCUCCCUUUAUAACUAAAGAACUGACUGACAAGGUCAAUAUAGCCAACGGGUUUGUGGUCAUGUUUGACGAGAGUCUCAAUAAGAUGACGAAAAGUAAGCAGUUGGACCUUCAUAUUCGCUACUGGGUGGAUAACCAUGUCCAGUCACGAUACUUCGGCUCGCAGUUUAUGGGCCAUGCAACGGCGGUGGACCUGCUCAAACAUUUCAAAGAGUGUGUAUGUGACCUUGACUUGAGGAAGAUGGUCUCAGUGUCUAUGGAUGGACCCAAUGUUAAUUGGCGUUUUUUUGAGAUGCUGCAGCAGGAGCAUGCAGAGCAUUUUGGGGGUGUUCAGCUGGCAGUGGUGGGGAGUUGUGGCCUGCAUACUCUCCAUAAUGCUGUCAAAUGUGGAUUCACCGAGUGGCAUAUGGAGAAGUUCCUAAGAGCUCUGCAUACAAUUUUCCACAAUGUGCCAGCAAGGAGAGAGGAUUUCUAUAAUCUCACAAAGUCCAAAAUCUUCGCUUUGCCUUUUUGUGGUCAUCGCUGGGUCGAGAACCUCCCUGUGGCGGAGAGGGCCCUUGUCAUCUGGCCAGACAUGAUGAAGUAUGUUGAGGCUGUCAGCACCAAAAAGCUUCCUAACCCUGGGACAUCCUCCUAUGAUACCAUUGAGGCAGCAACCAAAGACCCUCUCAUUCUGGCAAAGCUUCACUUUUUCAUGGCAGUGUGUCGAAGUGUAACACCUUUCCUCACCAGAUACCAAACUGAUGAACCUGUGCUGCCUUUCAUUGCUAAUGAUUUGGCUGAACUGCUGAAGGUGAGGUGAAUCUUCUCAUUUUAUUGUCAUAGUGAUUUUAAAAUCUCUUCUCGUUCACAAUUAAGUUAAGACUACAGCUAAGACUGGAUGAAUUGAACAUUUUGUAUUGUAAAAUAUUUUGUAUUCACAAAUAUGUAUAUUUUUGUCUUUUCAUAGAGUUUGCUGAGGCGAUUCAUUAAACAAGAACUUCUCAAUGAUGCCACACCUCAGCAUUUGGUCCGGCUUGAUGUUAGUGAUAUGCAGUCCAGGGUUCAUCUAAGAGCUGUUGAUAUUGGCAUUGGUGCUGAGGCUGCAAUAAAGGUAUUUAGGAAAUACAUAUUGUGUGACCAGGCUGGUGUCCCUGUUGUUAGACUGGUCUACUCAACCUCUCACUGGAUUAGCUAGAAGGAAAGAGGAGGGAGGGGAAGCUAUUUACUUAAUUUAGUCCCCAUUCAUCCUUAGGAACGUCAGCGGCAGAGUAGAUCCACCGAGGAGCUUUCUGUCCUCCAGUUCAGAAAAGAAUGCAUGGAGGGUCUGUCCAAAAUUGUAAAGAAGAUUCAAGAGAAGAGCCCUUUGAAAUUCCCAACUGUAAGACAAAUGACUUGUCUUAACCCAGCCGUGAUGUAUUCAGAUCCAGAAUUGUGUCAGGGCCAGAUGAAGUGUCUAGUCAAAAGGUUUCUUCAAGACAAGCAGUUAGAUGGAGUUGCUACAGGUACAUAAGAUUAAGUCCUGACGUUAGGCAUACAAUUUACAAAAGACACAUGUACAUUUGAUUGGAUUAUUAUAUAUGUGAGGGAUUUUUAUUUCACUUCUUCUUUGGGUGAUCUGAUCAUUCAGCAGUUUUCACAAUUGUUUUCUCUGGAGGUGAGGAAUGAGAAGUUCCUGUCUUUCAAGCCCCUUGAGGAGAGGCUGGAUGUGUUUCUCCAUUCGUAUAUAAGUCAGCCCUACCCACAGCUCUGGGCUUUCAUCAGAAACCUUCUGCUCCUCUCCCAUGGGCAAGCUACGGUGGAGAGAGGCUUCUCUAUCAAUAAACAAGUAGAAACUUGUAAUAUCCAUGAGGACACUGUCAUUGCACAAAGAGUUGUGUGCGAUUACGUGUCCAUGCAUGGGGGUGUUACCAAGGUGCCCCUCACACCAGAGCUCCUGUCUUCAGUCACAUCAGCAAGGGUGAGGUACAGAAUGCAUCUUGAAAGUGAACGGAAGAAAAAAGAAUCUCAAGCACAGGGUCAAAAAAGAAGAAUGAUUGAAGAGGAGUUGGAGCAGCUAAAAAAGUCAAGACAGACCAUCCAGGAAGUUGCAGAGCAUCAGAGGAGGGAUGCAGACAAGAUGGCAGAAGAGGCUGAGGGCAAACAAGGCAGCAAAAUGGCAGAGCUAAUUGCCAAGUCAAACGCAUUGAGAAGAAGCCACAAGCAGAAGUUGACAGAACUUGAGAGCCUGGGCGAAAAAAUUGCAACCAAGGCAGCAGACCUGCGAAGGCUGUAGUGUUCAACAUCAAGAUCAAAUCUAUUUGUUAAUUGUAAAUCAAAUGUGUGUUAUGCUGUUGCGUAUACACGUACAUAUAUCUGAUCAUUUAAAUAAAAUGUUUUAUUUAAUUCAAGAUGCCUACUUGUACAUAAUUAUUUUCUAGGGAUCAACAUUUAUACAGAUUUGACAUUUUCCCUUCAUACGUCUGUCGGAAUGGGUUCGAAGUUGGCAUUGAAUUUAAUUUGAAAUGGCAUUAAAAAGGUCUUAAAAAGCCUUGAAUUUUAUUUGGAAGAUCCUGGGGGUACCCUGAUAUAUCCUUCCAUUGUAACAGGGUGUCUAACAAGGGUGUUGAACCUUCCUAUCUGUAUCAUGAAGGCCUAAACACAAAAUAAAUAUUUAUUCCCAAGAGUAAUUUUUCCUACUCUCUGACCAAGAUCCUCCAGGUCCAACGAUAGUACAUUCAGCAGGUCCAACUAUAUUACAGUCUGUAGGUCCAACUAUAGUACAGUCUGCAGGUCCAACUAUAGUACAGUCUGCAGGUCCAACUAUAGUACAGUCUGCAGGUCCAACUAUAGUACAGUCUGCAGGUCCAACUAUAGUACAGUCUGCAAGUCCAAAUAUAGUACAGUCUGCAGGUCCAAAUAUAGUACAGUCUGCAGGUCCAAAUAUAGUAGUCUGCAGGUCCAACUAUAAUACAUUCAGCAGGUCCAACUAUAUUACAGUCUGUAGGUCCAACUAUAGUACAGUCUGUAGGUCCAACUAUAUUACAGUCUGUAGGUCCAACUAAAACACAGUCUGCAGGUCCAACAAUAGUACAGUCUGCAGGUCCAAUCACAACCUAAAAUUACAAUUCACAGCCAUUGCUAGGCUUGAGAUGGAGGUUAAGAGAACCAUUGAACUCUGCUAGAAUUACUCUGCAAGUUUGGUGCAUCACACAUUCACAACCAACUUAGAUAUCUAAAUUAAGACGUCAAAAUGUAUUAGUCAAAACAUUUACAUUUUUACAAAAAAAAAAUGGUCUUGCUAUGACUGAGCUAAUGGCUUUAAGGUCUCCAGAAGCUAAAUGUUGUCAAUGUACUUUUCAUACAACUGAGACAGAAUAUAGAACAAAGAGUUGGCUAUGUACAGGAGAUGGUAAAAAAAAGUUAAGAGACCACUGCAUCUUUUUCUUUCCUUUCCAAAAAUGUUGAAAAGCAAGGUUUUGAGUGAGGAACAGAAGUGAUCAAUUUGCAGUGGUCUCUUAAUUUUAACUCUUCUGUUCCUCACUCAAAACCUUGCUUUUCAACUUGUUUAUAAAGGAAAGAAAAUGUGCAGUGGUCUCUUAAUUUUUUCCAGAGCUGUAUAUUAACCUGUCUGAAGGAACAUGGGAAGAAAUCCUUUUCUGCAACAAUAUGACAAAAGUUGGUUUGAAAAGGUUUUUGAAAGGAUGAAAAUCAACUGAUUGUACAGAAAAUGACAAAAAGAUCAUAAAGCAAAAGGAUCUUAAAGCAAAGCAACAUAUUUGUCAUUAAGUAAGUCAAAUCAAGAGCAGAUUCCAUGUAUACUAUAGAUCUGUUAAAUACCGUGACUUGUAAAGAGAUAUACAUGACCGAAAAACAACAACGCUCUUCAUUUCCUGGAAAAACACAGCUCUUGGACGAUUUAAAGAAUCUCUACCAUGAGAGAGACCAAUGUGUGAGAAAAGCAGAGGGUUUUAGCACCUCUUGCCUGAAAUAUUCCACCAAUAUUUAACCAAACAUACCCAGAACUUGAUUGACAUGUUCUCAAGAGAUACAGGAAGAUUCAGCUAAAAACAUUAGUUCAUGACAAUGAGACUCCUGAGAGAAUGUUCUAUAAACAUUUUGGAUAGUAUUUUGUUAUGCUGGGACACUGGAAAUAUGUUGCAGUCAUAUAAAGGUCCUGUCACAUCUGUUAUGUAUGCACAGUUUGUGCAAUCACGUGAGAUGUUAGUUGACUAAGGGUUGUCGCAUGGUGUUUUUAAAGAGUCCAGUUUGCUCUUAUCUUAUGUGUCCGUAUCAUCCUUGAAUGCUAACAACAUCCAAACUAAUGAGGGACAAACAUAUCACAGAAACCAUCGCCACCUCCUGGAAACUACAGAAAAACACCACACACAAACAUCCAGCAGGGGGAGACUGAAACCUUUCAAACACAAUGUUGGGUACAUUUGUAAUAUCGUAUGCAUUUAUCAAUAUUAACUUGAGAAUCACAUGACUUAUCUUUGAUUAACCUUUGUGAGGACCUUAAUUAAUGUCACCCAUAGAUAAAGGUUUGUGUAAGAACUGACAUUUACUAAAUGCUGAUGUUGUUUCCAAUUAUUUGCUGGCUUUAAGCAAAAACUUAACUAAGAGCAGAAAUGACCAGAUGAACUGUCUGAUGAACUGUCUGAUGAACUGUCUAGAAUUGCUUGGGUUAAGGGUGAAAAAAAUUGCAUACACAUUUUCUUGUUUCAUUCACGUGUUUCCUGUUUUCCAUGUACGUUGCCGAGUAGAAAAAGGUCAAAGGGCAACCCGGCCUAGGUGUCACAUUAAAACAGUCUUAGCACAUGUGUAACCAAUAGGAAGGAAGAGAAAUAGGACAGGGCGGGCGAGGAAGUAUUCAGAUUUGUCUACUGACGGGUAUGAAAUGUAUCAGAACUCCCCGAAUCAAAGGCUUGGUGUCCAAAAAAGACCAAGAGAAGCUCAUUCAUGCUUUUAUCUCUAGUAGGGUUGACUACUGUAAUGGUCUCUUAACUGGACUCCCGAAAAAGUCUAUAAAAC
ensembl:lncRNA